rnacentral:lncRNA from 1 species
AUAAAACUAGAGAUCUAUUCUUAUUUGCUAGAUAACUUCUAAAAAGCAAGGAUAAAGCAUUCAUGUAGUCUGUUGUGAGUUGAGAUCUUUCAGCAGUAUUUUGGCUAUAAAAAUACACAAUUUAAAUUUAUUUUUUCUACAAUGUGUAGUCAUCAGUUUGCAAUAACCACAUAAUGCUCAACUUUUAAAGACCUAGCCCUCAACUUUUAAUGACCUGGCCCUCAUCUAUUGGCCACCUAGCCCUCAACUUUUAAUGACCU